rnacentral:rRNA from 1 species
GUCGAGAAUCUUUCACAAUGGGGGCAACCCUGAUGGAGCGACGCCGCGUGGAGGAUAAGGUCUUCGGAUUGUAAACUCCUGUCAUGCGUGAACAAGGUUGCUUGGUUAAUACCUGGGCAAAUUGAUGGUAACGCAAGAGGAAGAGACGGCUAACUCUGUGCCAGCAGCCGCGGUAAUACAGAGGUCUCAAGCGUUGUUCGGAAUCACUGGGCGUAAAGGGUGCGUAGGUGGCGUGGUAAGUCAGAUGUGAAAGCCCGGGGCUCAACCUCGGAACUGCAGCCGAUACUGCCAUGCUAGAGUACUGGAGAGGUGACUAGAAUUCUCGGUGUAGCAGUGAAAUGCGUAGAUAUCGAGAGGAAUACCAAAGGCGUAGGCAGGUCACUGGACAGUUACUGACACUGAGGCACGAAGGCCAGGGGAGCGAACGGGAUUAGAAACCCCGGUAGUCC